AGCGAACGCUAGCGGCGGGCUUAACACAUGCAAGUCGAGCGCGUGGCUUCGGCCACGAGUGGCGAACGGGUGAGUAAUGCAUCGGAACGUGCCCAAUCGUGGGGGAUAACGUAGCGAAAGUUACGCUAAUACCGCAUAAGCCCUGAGGGGGAAAGUAGGGGACCGCGAAGGCCUCACGCGAAUGGAGCGGCCGAUGUCAGAUUAGCUAGUUGGUGGGGUAAAGGCCCGACCAAGGCGACGAUCUGUAGCGGGUCUGAGAGGAUGAUCCGCCACACUGGGACUGAGACACGGCCCAGACUCCUACGGAGGCAGCAGUGGGGAAUUUUGGACAAUGGGCGCAAGCCUGAUCCAGCCAUGCCGCGUGCGGGACGAA
rnacentral:rRNA from 1 species